CCUACGGGUGGCAGCAGUGAGGAAUAUUGGUCAAUGGGCUUACGCCUGAACCAGCCAAGUCGCGUGAGGGAAGACUGCCCUAUGGGUCGUAAACCUCUGUUGUCAGGGAGCAACGCCGGCUACGUGUAGCCGGACGGAGAGGACCUGAAGAAAAAGCAGCGGCUAACUCAGUGCCAGCAGCCGAGGUAAUACUGCGGAUGCGAGCGUUAUCCGGAUUUAUUGGGUUGAAAGGGUGCGUAGGCGGAAUGCCAAGUCAGCGGUAAAAUCGCGGGCCUCAACCUGGCUCAGCCGUUGAAACUGUCGUUCUUGCGUGUGCGAGACGUAUUCGGCAUGCGUUGUGUAGCGGUGAAAUGCAUAGAUAUCACGCAGAACUCCUAUUGCGCAGGCAGCAUACCGGCGCCCAACUGACGCUGCAGCACGAAAGCGUGGGUAUCGAACAGGAUUAGAUACCCCUGUAGUC
rnacentral:rRNA from 1 species